UACGGAGGGUGCAAGCGUUAAUCGGAAUUACUGGGCGUAAAGCGCGCGUAGGCGGUCUUGUAAGUCGGAUGUGAAAUCCCCGGGCUCAACCUGGGAACUGCAUUCGAUACUGCUUGACUAGAGUAUGGAAGAGGGAAGGGGAAUUCCGGGUGUAGCGGUGAAAUGCGUAGAUAUCCGGAGGAACACCAGUGGCGAAGGCGCCUUCCUGGGCCAAUACUGACGCUGAGGCGCGAAAGCGUGGGGAGCAAACAGG
rnacentral:rRNA from 1 species